rnacentral:tRNA from 1 species
AUUGGAGUGCCUGAUUAAAGGAUUAUCUUGAUAGGAUAAAUAAAGUAAUUUAUUACCUCCAUUA